AUUGAACGCUGGCGGCAGGCCUAACACAUGCAAGUCGAGCGGAUGAAGGGAGCUUGCUCCUGGAUUCAGCGGCGGACGGGUGAGUAAUGCCUAUGAAUCUGCCUGGUUGUGGGGGAUAACGUCCGGAAACGGGCGCUAAUACCGCAUACGUCCUGAGGGAGAAAGUGGGUGAUCUUCGGACCUCACGCUCUCAGAUGAGCCUAGGUCGGAUUAGCUAGUUGGUGGGGUAAAGGCCUACCAAGGCGACGAUCCGUAACUGGUCUGAGAGGAUGAUCAGUCACACUGGAACUGAGACACGGUCCAGACUCCUACGGGAGGCAGCAGUGGGGAAUAUUGGACAAUGGGCGAAAGCCUGAUCCAGCCAUGCCGCGUGUGUGAAGAAGGUCUUCGGAUUGUAAAGCACGUUAAGUUGGGAGGAAGGGCAGUAAGUUAAUACCUUGCUGUUUUGACGGUACCAACAGAAUAAGCACCGGCUAACUUCGUG
rnacentral:rRNA from 1 species